rnacentral:rRNA from 1 species
UAAGGAAUAUUGGUCAAUGGACGGAAGUCUGAACCAGCCAUGCCGCGUGCAGGAAGACGGCCCUACGGGUUGUAAACUGCUUUUGCAGGGGAAUAAACCUUGAUACGUGUAUCAAGCUGAAUGUACUCUGAGAAUAAGGAUCGGCUAACUCCGUGCCAGCAGCCGCGGUAAUACGGAGGAUCCAAGCGUUAUCCGGAUUUAUUGGGUUUAAAGGGUGCGUAGGUGGCCUGUUAAGUCAGGGGUGAAAGACGGUAGCUUAACUAUCGCAGUGCCCUUGAUACUGAUGGGCUUGAAUGAACUAGAGGUAGGCGGAAUGUGACAAGUAGCGGUGAAAUGCAUAGAUAUGUCACAGAACACCAAUUGCGAAGGCAGCUUACUAUGGUUUUAUUGACACUGAGGCACGAAAGCGUGGGGAUCAAACA